rnacentral:rRNA from 1 species
AUUGAACGCUGGCGGCAGGCCUAACACAUGCAAGUCGAACGGUAACAGGAAGCAGCUUGCUGCUUCGCUGACGAGUGGCGGACGGGUGAGUCAUGUCUGGGAAGCUGCCUGAUGGAGGGGGAUAACUACUGGAAACGGUAGCUAAUACCGCAUAAUGUCGCAAGACCAAAGAGGGGACCUUCGGGCCUCUUGCCAUCGGAUGUGCCCAGAUGGGAUUAGCUUGUUGGUGGGGUAACGGCUCACCAAGGCGACGAUCCCUAGCUGGUCUGAGAGGAUGACCAGCCACACUGGAACUGAGACACGGUCCAGACUCCUACGGGAGGCAGCAGUGGGGAAUAUUGCGCAAUGGGCGCAAGCCUGAUGCAGCCAUGCCGCGUGUAUGAAGAAGGCCUUCGGGUUGUAAAGUACUUUCAGCGGGGAGGAAGGGAGUAAAGUUAAUACCUUUGCUCAUUGACGUUACCCGCAGAAGAAGCACCGGCUAACUCCGUG